rnacentral:lncRNA from 1 species
CUCCGCCCGGGGCCCCCUCCGCGGCCGUCCCCGCGUUCCCACUUCCUUUCCAGCCAGCCGGCCGCCCGUCCCUUCGGAAGCCGGGCUUCUGGGAGCAGGGGCGCGAGGCAGCGCGAGGCAGCCCGCGGGGCGGGGGCGCUCGACCUUCCCGCCCCCGGGUCACCCAGGGGCCGCUCCUGCCCUCGCCCGCAGCCGGCUGCUUUCCCCCAACUACCUGUCCGAGCAGCCGCCCGGAGACGUCCCCAGGCCAGGCCCGCCUCGCCGGGGUCCCCCAUCUGCACCGCGGCGCGCUCUCCAGGGAGCCAGGGCACUGCCCCGUCCCUCUCCCUCUCGGCCUCCCGCUUCUGCGCUCUUUGCGCUUUUGUGGGCUCCGCCACUCGACGCGACCCAGCCUUGGCGCUGUCACCCCUCCCACUGAGAGUUUGCAGUGUGGACACCGGCGAGCGAGCACACCUUUUUGGCUCUGGACGUCCAGAUUUCUUGAAUCCAGAUGAUAAUGUGGCGUUCUGCACGAAGAUUAGACCUGCAGUCUCGUUCCUUACACAGCCAGCUGCCAAGGCUGCAGGUGCCAAGUCCUGUUCUCUGUGCGCUGAGCUACACACGCGGGAAUAACGUGGAGGACCAUCGUCAGGAUUUUAGGCUGGAGCAUCUGGAUGAGUCUACACAGCCCCUUCCCCAGUCAGCUCCUAAGUCUUCCCACUCACCUGACAGUGUCAGAGACACUCAGUCAUCAAGGAGUCCAGAUAUUCAGCUCAUCUCCAUCCUGCUCCCCAAUUCCUCUGCCCAUGUGACUUUGAGAGUUUCUCCACGCCAUCCUGAAGCCCGAGGUCUUCAUGUCCGAGCCUGGCUGAUGACGCCUCCUAUGUCUCCCUGGCUGUUCUGA